GCUCUGUUGUUAGGGAAGAACAAGUACCGUUCGAAUAGGGCGGUACCUUGACGGUACCUAACCAGAAAGCCACGGCUAACUACGUGCCAGCAGCCGCGGUAAUACGUAGGUGGCAAGCGUUGUCCGGAAUUAUUGGGCGUAAAGGGCUCGCAGGCGGUUUCUUAAGUCUGAUGUGAAAGCCCCCGGCUCAACCGGGGAGGGUCAUUGGAAACUGGGGAACUUGAGUGCAG
rnacentral:rRNA from 1 species